rnacentral:lncRNA from 1 species
UACUUGGUGCUAUGCUACUGAGUAAGCUGUGGCACUUGGGGUUCAAAAGACAGAGAGUGGACUGUUUGGUCCUUGCCUUUGUGAAUCCCAAGUACAUCCAGACAUAGCCUGAAUUUCCCUUGGCUUAGAUAGGGGGACUAUGGUGUCAGUACUACCUGGCUUUAACCUGGUUAUUCAAGAUAAUGGUUUUACAUCCAAUCACUCUUCACAAGGAACUCUGGGAACUGUAGCUCUGGCAGGGAAAUAUAAUACCCCCCCUCAGCAACCUUCACAAACUACAGCUCCCAGAGCUCCUUGGUGGAAAGCCAUGACUGUUUAAAGUGGUAUAAAGGUAAAGAGACCCCUGACCAUUAGGUCCAGUCGUGGCCGACUCUGGGGUUGCAGUGCUCAUCUCACUUUAUUGGCUGAGGGAGCCCGCGUACAGCUUCCGGGUCAUGUGGCCAGCAUGACUAAGCCACUUCUGGCGAACCAGAGCAGCACACGGAAACACUGUUUACCUUCCCACCGGAGUGGUACCUAUUUACCUACUUGCACUUUAACAUGCUUUCGAACUGCUAGGUUGGCAGGAGCAGGGACCGAACAACGGGAGCUCACCCCGUCGCAGGGAUUCGAACCGCCGACCUUCUGAUCGGCAAGUCCUAGGCUCUGUGGUUUAACCCAGAGCGCCACCUGUGUCCCUCUUAAAGUGGUAUAAUAGUGUUUUAAAUGUAUGGGGUGAAUGUAGCACUGCAUGUUAAGAUGAAAUCUUUCCACCAACGACUAUGUGCCCAAGCUUGCAGGCCAUAGAACUGGACUGCAGCAUGUACGUUUCCUUUAUGGGGGAAGGUUUUUCCUCCCUUGCAUGGAUAUAACGUGCAGCCAUCCAGAGGGGGAUAUGUAUGCCCCUCUCUCCUUGGCAUAAGACCUGAAAAUAUGGAGGAAGAGGAAUGCAUUGUUUCAUUGCAGCAUCCACAUCUUUUGAAAAGUCACCCGCAGUCACAAACCUGUGUUUGCUUCUGCGUAGUGUGUGAAAAGGCCCAAAGUCUUACAAUGAAAGUUAUGUCUUUAUUCUGUGGAGGAAAAGGGAGAGCAUGCGGUAAUAAAGCAACAUGAAUGAGUAACGUGAGCUUCUCCAAAUACACUUCCCAUUGAUUCUGCUGGCUUUAGCAACUGUCGAUUCCAGCUGUCUGCUCCUUUUCAAAUAUUUGUUCCUGCUCAUUCACAUUCCAAAUGGUUCUCCGUUUUGCAAUAUCUGCUCUCAUCUCUUGCUUUGUCCCUUUCCUUCCUUUGUAAGCAUUUCACAGUUUUGCAGCCUUGAGUCAAGAUCAGAAGCUGGAUUUCUGCAGAGCUUAGUUUUCUGUGAAGCUUUUGUGUAACCGUUUCUCCACCCUCCUCCACUGCUGGUAUACUAAUUUUAAUGCUAUUCUUUCUGACUGCUCAAUGUAGCUGUGAUAUACACUUCACACAAAUCAUAUCUUGCUUUUAGCUAAAUGGGAAAGGACCAUAAAGAACCCAAAUUCACAGCCUAUGAAGGAUGAGUUGAAUUCUGGCGAGUCAAUUGCCCCCAAAUUCAGAUCCCUAGUUCCUUCUAAUUAUCUAAUGGCAGGUUCUCUUGGUCAUUAGAAACAAGAUGGCUGUGGAAAUCUAAUCAUUGUCCUGAUUGAUGUCAGUGUCUCACAGAAUUGAUACCAUACUAUAAUUCUUAUUAGCAAAUAGUCUUUUGGGGGGACCAGAUUCUCUUACCUUUCAGCAGCCCAAAUUAAAUUAAUAGUUGUUUUAUCACCCAGUUUUGAUGAAUGGAUUCCUUAAUAUGUGACAUGUUUUACAGUUUUUACUCAUAUAAUUUGAACAUGAACAGGAAGAUAAGUGUUAUACUCAUUUUACAGCUGGAAAGUCCCCGAUAUCCCACAUUUAUCCACGGAUUAUUAAUCCAUGGUUUGUGUCCCGCUUUAAUCCACAGAAAGAGACAUCUAGAGACAGGUACGCUGCAUUGUGGUGAGCAGGGACUGAGAGAAGGCAUCCCUCCGCCCAACUCUGUCACCCAAGCAUACCUCCCAGAGCUUCCUCUCCUACCCAUUGAAUGUGCAAGUGGCCGGAAGUACCACUGGCAGCAAUUCAGCCAACAGAAGGCCUCAAAAUGUGGCAUUCAUGCCAGGUAGGGGCUUAACUAGACCAAGAUAUGUUGGAUUCUGAGCUGGUCCCAUUACCAUCACACAACAGUCUUAGGACCAAUCUGUGCAAGCUCCAGGCCUCCCCACCUUCUGCCUUGCCUGGGCAGCCACAUGCAUGUGGUGGUCCUGCUGUCCCACGAAACUCCACUGGUCAGUGGCUGUGGUAGGACUGCAGCCUCAGGUCAUGUAUGAAGUCAUGGGGGAAAUCACCUGUUUAAGAAAAUGAGUAUGCAAUAGGCUGAUCCACGCUCCUCCACAUCCCAUUCAGAACCUGGAUCCAUGAGUAGCUGUAACUCUGGGCUGACCAGACCCAGAUCUAGGCCCAAGUUUGGGGGCCAGCCCUUAUUAAAUGUGGUAGGUGAGACACGGUGGCCUUUCUGCUGCCUCCCAACUGCAUGUUUAAUUAAAGUUUAAAAACCCAAAUUCAAUGUAAGGUCAACAGCCCUUUGUGGUUUAUUGCAGAGCCUGCCCCUCCUUCUUGCCGCUUGAUGCCCGAUACACUGUCUCAUAACAGUCCAGGAUCGCUUUGGGUGGGUUUCCCAAAUUGGGCCCGAUUCAGUUUCAGAUCUGGGCUCUGACCAGAUCUGGCACGCAAGCCUAAUAUUUACAAAUAUCUUCAAGGAUUAAAUAAACAUAUCCAGCAGUUCCAACUUUUCUUAGAGCCCAGGUCAGCAGGCUGGGGUCUUGGGCAGUAGAGGUGCACUCAGGUAAGCAUCAGAGAAGAGAAAAAGGUGCUCCCACAGCUGUGUUUGACAGCUCUUGUGCCCUUGUGCUAAGGGUAAACUGGAAGGGGGAUUUAUUGAACUCCCUAUCCAAGUUUUCCUGUGCAAAUCACUGUAGUUGCAGAAGGAUCAGAAAUGGUUUGUGUGCUGUUAGUUCUUGUAUUAUUUGCUGUGACUUACGGGGAGAAUGCCUUAUAUCUUCCUCAUGAGCACUCAGUCUGGCAACUGCAUCUUGUUUGUAGCUGAAAACAAACUUUCAAUACAUAUUUUCUAAAAAGGGGAAGUGAGAAUGCAUAUUAUAAAAACAAUUUGGAAAUAAAUAUUUUUUAUUUUAUUUUACACAGCAAAGAUCAACAGGAUUUAUUCCAUUCUUGACAAUGUCAGUUAACAACCCAUUUAUGCUAUUUAUAAAAUAAUGCCAAUAAAAUAUCUGUUUUUGUAAUUAUUUAUAUUGCCCUUUAUUCUAACUACAUAUACACCCAUGUAAUGUGCAUAGAUAACCAUCCACAUAUGCAUAAAUUAAUUGAUAAGGUAGUUUGUGGUCUAACAAAGAGCUGAAAAUAGGUUCUUGCAUUUUACUCCAGUGAGUUGGGAUGGCAGAAAGGGACCAAAGUUAAGAUUAAAAAUAAAAUUAACAGGAUAGUUUUAUCUAAAUCAAUGCACAGAAGUGAUAAAAAUAUACAAACCAGC